AUGUACAGUAGGCUGUCAAGAGAAAGAAGUAAGAACAAAGGAGACUGUUAUUAUCUUUUAUUAUUAUCUUGUAGUAACUGGACACAAUUCCAAGGGAGCUGCAUGUGUGCCGAGCUAUUUCCCCAGCUGCUCCUACAGGCAAGGCCCAUGCUGAGGGUUCCUGCUCAAGGAACUCCCAGUUGAUCUCAGUUUGGGGUGGCCAGUUUAAAGCUGCAUUUCUGCCCCUAGAACCAGGCAGUCUGGAGAAAUGAGAGUUAGAUUAGAGUAGUUCACAGUAGAUGUAAUCAUCAGUGUUCUCACAGAUGAUAAUGGGUUAGUUCUGGUUAAUAUCUUUUACAGAGUUUCCCUUCAGUUCGCCAUGGUGCCUUCAAGCCAGGCAGGUCCCAUUCCCCCACCCUGUGGUGAUGCUACUUGAGACAGACUGAGCCACACUCAGAAUUGGCUACUUCUGUCAGGCAGGGUUAAAACUGCUGAUGAAGAUACAGGAAGAAGCAAUCUCCCAAGCCAGAAUGGAAAAGGGAAAGGGCACUGUCUUUAAAGGGUGAGUUGCCAAAGAAGAAAUGUGACAAGCAGUCAAUCUGCUAUUUCUCUGGCUCUGCAACAACUAACAGGACAGAAAUACUCCAGCAGGGAAUGGGGACAGGAACAGUUAUCAUUUAUAUAUAUAUAUAUUUUUUUCCUUCCCAAACCCCUUGUCAGUUGUGCUGAGAAAGCAAAAUUUACAAUCCUGAUUUUGGAUAUAGGACUACAUCCAGGCCCCUGAUUAUUCCUAAUGCUGAAGGGUAAGAUGUAGGAGAUGUAAUUACUUGUAUUACUUGCUUUUUUGUUGUUGUUUGCUGCAGGAGCUGUGUCUGAGAAUAAGAAGGCUGCAUUCUGCUUUCCCCUAGCCUGUAAUAUGUCCAUCAGUCCUUAGCAAUACUGCUGCCCGUCUGCACAAUCACAACUCAAGCAGAAGUAUCCCUCCAGUACACAGAAUUAUGGCUAGACUGUGAUAGGCAGUGUGACACAGGGAUGGAGAAGAAAUAAUCUAUGGCAACUUGAAACAAAAUGCCAAAUCUUGAUAACCAAAGGCUUUACCAACCUUUGCAUGCAGGGCCCCAUGGGGGUCUUUUAGUACACAAGUCACUCACCGGUGGAUAAUGCACAAUUUUCUAAUAAUGGAGCCAGCGGCUGUACACUAGAA
rnacentral:lncRNA from 1 species